rnacentral:rRNA from 1 species
GAUGAACGCUGGCGGCGUGCCUAAUACAUGCAAGUCGAGCGAACAGACGAGGAGCUUGCUCCUCUGACGUUAGCGGCGGACGGGUGAUUAACACGUGGCUAACCUACCUAUAAGACUGGGAUAACUUCGGGAAACCGGAGCUAAUACCGGAUAAUAUAUCGAACCGCAUGGGUCAAUAGUUAAAGACGGUUUUGCGGACACUUAUAGAUGGAUCCGCGCCGCAUUCGCUGGUUGGUAAGGUAACGGCUUACCAAGGCAACGAUGCGUAGCCGACCUGAGAGGGUGAUCGGCCACCCUGGAACUGAGCAACGGCCCAGACUCCUACGGGAGGCAACGGUAGGGAAUCGUCCGCCAUGGGCGAAAGCUUGACGGAGCAACGCGGCGUGAGUGAUGAAGCUCCUCCGAUGGUAAAACUCUGUUAGCAGGGCAGACCAAAUGUGUCAGUACCUAUGCACGUCUUGACGGUACCUUGUCAGAAAGCCACGGCUAACUACGUG